GUGGAUGGUCUCCUGUGUUUGCCUUGGAGCCUGGACAAAGGUGAACUGGGGCUUCUCUGGUAGCUCAGAUGAUAAAGAAUCGCCUGCAAUGCAGGAGACCUGGGUUCAAUCCCUGGGUCGAGAAGACCCCCUGGAGAAGAGCUUGGCAACCCAUUCCAGUAUUCUUGCCUAGAGAAUUCUAUAGACAGAGGAGCCUGGCAGGGUAUUGUCCAUGGGAUUGCAUAGUUGGACACCACUGAGCGACUAACACACACUCAACAUGCUGGACGAAGAUGGCGAUCAGGAAGGGUCCAAGGACACAUGGCACCCACGUGGAGAAGGAUCAGGCUGACAUUCCUACAAAACACGCUAGGGACCAGGCUGACAUUCCUACAAAAUGUGCUCUCUGGAUCCCAAGCCCUCCACAGGGGCAGGAGAUAUCCCUGGACACACCCCUCCUGGCCCUGUGUGCCCUUGGCUGCACUGGAGAGGCAGGUCGCCUUUGCCCCCGCCACUCCCCGCUCGUGAAUGAGGCUCGUGACUCACAUCUGCUCGGCCAAGCAGCCACAGUUAGGGGAGCCUCAUUCAAAUGCCAGGCAGACGCAAAUAGCACGCUCUGCUCGCCUAUGAAUAGCCUGCCCAGCUGUUCUGCAGGAGGCCAAGCCGCAUUCUCAUCCAAAGUACAUUUGUUCUUAUUUAUGAGCUGCAUCAUACACCAUCGGCAGCCUACCUUUGGCCCUUCAAGGCCAGCUUCGUGCGUGUUCUUUGUUCCCUCAAGUCUCGCCAAGUGAAAUAUUAACUACUGGUGGGACAAAGGGCCUGGGAGCCUCUGAAGGCAGGGUUGAUGAAGAAGGAUACCUGGAGGGAGGGUUGUUCACUGACCUGGAAUUUUCCAUUGCUCUGAAGCUCACAUGACCGGGGCAGUGUUUUCUGCAAGCCACGUAGCGAAGAUCCAGUCAUUGUCCAUAAAACCUGAUGAUUUUGAAUCCUGAUAAAAUCAGAGUUGGGCUUCCCUGGUUGCUCAGUGGGAAAGAAUCUGCCUGCCAAUGUAGCAGAGGUGGGUUCGAUCCCUGGGUCAGGAAGAUCCCCUGGAGAAGGAAAUGGCAACCCACUCCAGUAUUUUUGUUUGGACAUGCCAUGGACAGAGGAGCCUGGUGGGCUGCAGUCCAUAAGGUCAAAAAAGAAUCGGACACAACUUAGCAACUAAACAACAGCAAAACUCAGAGUUAAUAGGGCAGCUAGUGGAAGGGAAUGCCAUUUGGACUAUCGUUCAAGCCAAGAUCUCAGAAACAGAAGUAAUAAUGACAGAAAUGUGUCCUUCCCUUGACCAUCCCUCUCUUUCCUCAUCUUCCUCUUCUAACUCCACCGUCAACACCAUCACCAGAACCACUACCUCCACCAUCACUCGUUUAUGAGGAAAAUUUAAUAUCACCUAUUUAAUGUUCAUGAACAUUACUCCCCACCGCUCAACCCAAGGAAACCAAAUCAAUGUUCUUUACUGGAUGCUUCUCCCUUUCACACCAGCCACACUUUGGGAGCAUGAAGCAGAUCCACUAUACCAACAGAAAAAUGAGAAGAACCACAGUUCCUUACUCCCACCUCUGCAAAAGAACAAGUCGUGUUCCAAAUUGCUAUGGCUUCAGAAUCCCUGUGAACAGAUAUAAAGAGAGCUCAGCUUUCUUCACGCACUCUUGGGCAGCCCGGAAGCUACAGAAUCAUAGGGUUAAAGAAAGUGUCUGAUAAGCCACAGACAUUAUGAAGCCGACCUGUCUCCACACGUGGCCCUGAGUGGGAGCUCAGAGACAUGGGCUAAGAGGGCGCCUCCGAACCUGCCCUGAGCGUAAACACGUGACAAAUAUAGUUCUGCAUCGAAGGCUUUGGCCCCACUGGGAAAUCUCCAACUUGAAAACCUGCUGACAUAAACAAGGGGAGAAGCUUGGUAGCCAGUCAGAAGCUUGUUGUUGGAAGCUGCAGGCUGACUUGAGCAACAGUGAUUCUCCACAGCUCCCUAAUUGCACCCUUGUCGGCAUGGCCUAGGAAGCCCUUGAGGGGCCCCUGGGGCUUGUAACCAGCUCUGCUUAGGUCAGAGCUCCAGGUAACUAACCAAGUCAGCGGAGGGAAGCAGUUUAAAUACGACUGAUGGACAUUUCUCUAUACACUGCCGGUUUUGUGUCUUGACUUCCCAUUCUGGCGUGGUUGGUGUGACACCUGCUUCUACAUCUUCGGCCAAGUCUCUCUGAUACCUUCAGUCCUGCAAGAAAUAACGUCAAGUCCUGUUCUUCCCACAUUGUGGUUACCCUCAAAGGGAGAGAUCCUUCCUUCCUAAGUGAGAUCCCCAGCUAGGAUCCCUCAUGUUGCUCAAAAAGAUACUGACUUCUGAAUGCCACCCUGCAAAACAUCUCUUUUUCCAGCUCAGCGGCCUUCCUGCCCAUCAUUUCGUUUUUUGUGCUCACUAG
ensembl:lncRNA